rnacentral:rRNA from 1 species
ACGGGAGGCAGCAGUGAGGAAUAUUGGUCAAUGGGCGGAAGCCUGAACCAGCCAAGUCGCGUGAAGGAUGAAGGUAUUAUGUAUUGUAAACUUCUUUAGACGUAGAGAAAUAAGGGGAUCGUGAUCCCUGAUGCUAGUAUACGUAGAAUAAGGAUCGGCUAACUCCGUGCCAGCAGCCGCGGUAAUACGGAGGAUCCGAGCGUUAUCCGGAUUUAUUGGGUUUAAAGGGUGCGCAGGCGGGAUGUCAAGUCAGUGGUGAAAUGGUGCGGCUCAACCGUAGCAUUGCCGUUGAAACUGGCGUCCUUGAGUGCGAAUGAGGUACGCGGAACGUGUCAUGUAGCGGUGAAAUGCAUAGAUAUGACACAGAACACCGAUUGCGAAGGCAGCGUACUGGGACGCGACUGACGCUGAGGCACGAAAGUGCGGGGAUCGAACAGGAUUAGAUACCCUGGUA